GAACGCUGGCGGCGUGCCUAAUACAUGCAAGUCGAACGAGUUCUCGUUGAUGAUCGGUGCUUGCACCGAGAUUCAACAUGGAACGAGUGGCGGACGGGUGAGUAACACGUGGGUAACCUGCCCUUAAGUGGGGGAUAACAUUUGGAAACAGAUGCUAAUACCGCAUAGAUCCAAGAACCGCAUGGUUCUUGGCUGAAAGAUGGCGUAAGCUAUCGCUUUUGGAUGGACCCGCGGCGUAUUAGCUAGUUGGUGAGGUAAUGGCUCACCAAGGCGAUGAUACGUAGCCGAACUGAGAGGUUGAUCGGCCACAUUGGGACUGAGACACGGCCCAAACUCCUACGGGAGGCAGCAGUAGGGAAUCUUCCACAAUGGACGCAAGUCUGAUGGAGCAACGCCGCGUGAGUGAAGAAGGCUUUCGGGUCGUAAAACUCUGUUGUUGGAGAAGAAUGGUCGGCAGAGUAACUGUUGUCGGCGUGACGGUAUCCAACCAGAAAGCCACGGCUAACUACGUGCCAGCAGCCGCGGUAAUACGUAGGUGGCAAGCGUUAUCCGGAUUUAUUGGGCGUAAAGCGAGCGCAGGCGGUUUUUUAAGUCUGAUGUGAAAGCCCUCGGCUUAACCGAGGAAGCGCAUCGGAAACUGGGAAACUUGAGUGCAGAAGAGGACAGUGGAACUCCAUGUGUAGCGGUGAAAUGCGUAGAUAUAUGGAAGAACACCAGUGGCGAAGGCGGCUGUCUGGUCUGUAACUGACGCUGAGGCUCGAAAGCAUGGGUAGCGAACAGGAUUAGAUACCCUGGUAGUCCAUGCCGUAAACGAUGAAUGCUAGGUGUUGGAGGGUUUCCGCCCUUCAGUGCCGCAGCUAACGCAUUAAGCAUUCCGCCUGGGGAGUACGACCGCAAGGUUGAAACUCAAAGGAAUUGACGGGGGCCCGCACAAGCGGUGGAGCAUGUGGUUUAAUUCGAAGCAACGCGAAGAACCUUACCAGGUCUUGACAUCUUUUGAUCACCUGAGAGAUCAGGUUUCCCCUUCGGGGGCAAAAUGACAGGUGGUGCAUGGUUGUCGUCAGCUCGUGUCGUGAGAUGUUGGGUUAAGUCCCGCAACGAGCGCAACCCUUAUGACUAGUUGCCAGCAUUUAGUUGGGCACUCUAGUAAGACUGCCGGUGACAAACCGGAGGAAGGUGGGGAUGACGUCAAAUCAUCAUGCCCCUUAUGACCUGGGCUACACACGUGCUACAAUGGAUGGUACAACGAGUUGCGAGACCGCGAGGUCAAGCUAAUCUCUUAAAGCCAUUCUCAGUUCGGACUGUAGGCUGCAACUCGCCUACACGAAGUCGGAAUCGCUAGUAAUCGCGGAUCAGCACGCCGCGGUGAAUACGUUCCCGGGCCUUGUACACACCGCCCGUCACACCAUGAGAGUUUGUAACACCCGAAGCCGGUGGCGUAACCCUUUUAGGGAGCGAGCCGUCUAAGGUGGGACAAAUGA
rnacentral:rRNA from 2 species